AGCCCUCUCAGACAUUUCUUCCAUCUUAUGCUUGUCCCCUGUCACGAAUUUCAAUGUCGAAAUCAAGAAGGAAGGAAGGAGAAUAAAAGAAAAAGAGACAAAUAUUGCUUCUUGCAGGUACAUUUAACUCAAACAGACUUAUCACACUGCAGUACCUGGGAUACGGGGAUCACAUAAAUUUCAGGACAAGAAGAAGAUGGAAGAUGUGCUGAGGUUGCAAAACACAUUCUCUCUCUUGUAAAUAAAAUCUAUCUACCAAAAAGAAAAGAAAUGACUAUAAAGUAAAAUCUAGCCUAGGCAUGGUGGUUGAAAUAAAUUCAUGCUUACAACUGUAAGUUUUUCUUGUGGGCCAAUGACAUCGAAUAGAUACACCAAGAAAAAGAUGAGUUCCACUGUUCUUACUACAUCAUAUUGUUAGGAUUGUGAUAUAGUGAUAUAUGAUAAUGCUAGGGAGUUUGUGGAGCUCAUCAUAUAUUACUGGCACUUUGAUGAGUAAAAGGACAAGGAUGCAAACUUUAACUGUUCA